UUUGUGAGGCGAAUUUCGUGGUCGAUUACAGACAGCAGGAAUCAGGAGAACCCGCAGAUUCACGUUCAAUCUCACGAUAACGAGUUGUCUCUCUAAAGACAGACACAUAGACAUAUAAGCAGUAGAUUGUGUCCUUCCAGAGGAGGAAAUCUACUUCUAGACUUCUAGAAUCAGCAUCUCCUCAUCCAUGGUGUCAUCGGGGUGAAAUGACGUCUAAAA